rnacentral:misc_RNA from 1 species
GAUGAAGAACGUAGUGAAAUGCGAUACUUGGUGUGAAUUGCAGAAUCCCGUGAACCAUCGAGUCUUUGAACGCAAGUUGCGCCCGAAGCCAUUAGGCCGAGGGCACGCCUGCCUGGGCGUCACACGUCGUUGCCCCCCCAUCUACUCCUUCGGGAUUGCGGGGGGCGGAUGAUGGCCUCCCGUGCGCCUCGCCGCGCGGUUGGCAUAAAUGCCAAGUCCUCGGCGACGCACGCCACGACAAUCGGUGGUUGCGAAACCUCGGUUGCCCGUCGUGUGCGGUCGUCGCGCAUCGAGGGCUCGAAAAAAUUGCCGAGUUCCGGCUCGGCUUUCAACGCGACCCCAGGUCAGGCGGGGUUACCCGCUGAAUUUAAGCAUAUCAAUAAGCGGAGGA